UACCUUUAAAAACUGUCCAAAAUGCCCUCCUAUCUAGUCUAACUCUGUAUCUUCUUAUGUUUCACUCCCCAGAAGAUUUGACAAGGGGCUGGAGUGGCAUGGAUGCUAAGGCACAUGAUUGACAGUCCAGAGGUCGCAAGUCCAAGACCAUAGCAGAACCAUCCACAGUGUGGCCCUGUCAGGUUCCAACAAACCUGUGAACUCUGCUAAAUAUCUGGACCCACAAAGGAUGCAAAAGGAAGGAAAGGAUAAGAUUUGACAAUCAGUAUUAUAGCGCAAUUAGGCAUUCUAGUACUACUUCACCGAUAUAGCUAUCUCACUUCUGUAAGGAGUGAAAAUCAUCAGAUUCAUCCCCAAAAUGACAUCAAAUGGCAAACCAGCCCUGCAGCUACAACAAGCAACAUUAUAUUGCACAGGGUUGUAAAAGAAUAAACAUCUUGGAGAUCAUGGAAAAAUUACCUUGGGACUAUGAAAGAGGCCUGUUUGCACUCAGUAGAAAGUGCAGCCACAAAGGUGUCCAGAUGGGCCUAGUCUUGAUAGUGGAACAUUCACUGCCGACAGGAAGGACACAGUUCAAACGAGGAUGCUGUAAUGAGACCCGGAGUCUUGUCACCAAGUUUCUUGGUUUCACUCUUUCUGCAUGACCAGGAUCAAGUCACUUGGGAAUAGAUUCACAAGGGAUUUAGAAAUCACAUUUUAUGUGCCAUGACUUAGAAUCCGCAUGCCUGUACUCCCUGUACGGUGCAGAAGCAGAGUUGGGUGACUUUGGGAUUCACAGCCACCAGCAGCUCCUGCCUGAAUAUGCCUAUGAGAGCAGGCCCCUCAGGAAACACAGCCAGAAUAUUCUGUAGGCUUUGGGGUAACAUAGCUACCAAGUGGGACAACCCUGCCAAGAUGUCAGCAAUUCUGGGUGUGUGCAGAAUUCAGGAAAACUUAAUGUAUAAAUUGUAGACACCUAUACAUUUUAAGCUCUUCAGGGGUUUGGAGGAGUGUAUGUUUGAUCUUAGACCCCUUGAUUUAGCCUUAAACCUAAACUGGGUGACUGUAUUCUUUCCUGGGUCUGUUCUUCAGUCUCUCUGUGUCUAGUUUCCCAUCUGUAAAAUGGGAAUAGUAUUUCUAAUAUUAGUUAAGAGUAUUAGUGUGAAUGUGAACUGUGACUUGUUUCUAUUGUAAGCCACUAUGAUCCUUUUCUGGGAGCAUGGCACAAAAAUCAAA
rnacentral:lncRNA from 1 species